rnacentral:sRNA from 1 species
UUGCCCUAGUAACGGCGAGUGAAGCGGCAAUAGCUCAAAUUUGAAAUCUGGCUGUCUUUGGCAGUCCGAGUUGUAAUUUGCAGAGGGUGCUUUGGUGUUGACAGCGGUCUAAGUUCCUUGGAACAGGACGUCACAGAGGGUGAGAAUCCCGUACGUGGUCGCCUGCCUUCACCGUGUAAAGCCCCUUCGACGAGUCGAGUUGUUUGGGAAUGCAGCUCUAAAUGGGAGGUAAAUUUCUUCUAAAGCUAAAUACUGGCCAGAGACCGAUAGCGCACAAGUAGAGUGAUCGAAAGAUGAAAAGCACUUUGGAAAGAGAGUCAAACAGCACGUGAAAUUGUUGAAAGGGAAGCGCUUGCCGCCAGACGUGCCUACGGUUGUUUUCUUCCGUGGGCAGGCCAGCAUCAGUUUGGGCGGUCGGAUAAAGGCCUCUGUCACGUAUCACCCUUCGGGGUGACCUUAUAGGGGAGGUGUAAUGCGACCAGCCUGGACUGAGGUCCGCGCAUCUGCUAGGAUGCUGGCGUAAUGGCUGUAAGCGGCCCGUCUUGAAACACGGACCAAGGAGUCUAACAUCUAUGCGAGUGUUUGGGUGUCAAGCCCGAGCGCGU